AUUGAACGCUGGCGGCAGGCCUAAAACAUGCAAGUCGAGCGGAGCGGCGGACGGGUGAGUAAUGCCUAGGAAUCUGCCUGGUUGUGGGGGAUAACGUCCGGCACGGGGCGCUAAUACCGCAUACUAUCAGAUGAGCCUAGGUCUGAUUAGCUAGUUGGUGGGGUAAAGGCCUACCAAGGCGAAGAUCCGUAAAUGGUCUGAGGGGAUUAUCAGUCACAUUGGAACUGGGACACGGUCCAGCAUCCUACGUGAGGCAGCAGUGGGGAAUAUUGGACAAUGGGCGAAAGCCUGCUCCAGCCAUGCCGCGUGUGUGAAGAAGGUCUUCGGAUUGUAAAGCACUUUAAGUUGGGAGGCGUUACCAACAGAAUAAGCACCGGCUAACUUCGUGCCAGCAGCCGCGGUAAUAC
rnacentral:rRNA from 1 species